UCUACACUUUGUGUUGUGUUGUCGGCAGACAGGAUGAAAUAACAUCACUGGCCGGAUAUGGCCCGCGGGCCGUAGUUUUUGCAUCACUGGUUUAUGACUUUAUCGAGAAUUUCCUGAAGCAUAAGUUCUCAAUACCCAAUUACGUUGAUGGGAGUGUCUCUUAAAAUAGCGAUCCACAGUCACGAGACAAAGUUUUCUAGGAAAUGAAUCCCAUCCGUUACGAAUGAAAGAAGUCAACAACAUUUAAGUGUUUGGCGAGGUUAGAAAGUUAACGUCUACUUUCAAACUAUCUCCAUCACCAAGUUAAACUAUACACCAACUAAGUCUGCCAAGGAAUAGAGGAGCCCCCAGCCAUUCAGCAAGCCCUAUCAUCUCAUUCACUCUUCCAAUCAAGUGCACAUCCUUGACAAGCAAGCUGUGUUUAGCUCCAUUAACAGCCACAGCCGUGUUUAGCUCCAUUAACAGCCACAGCCGUGUUGAGCUCCAUUAACAGCCACAGCCGUGUUUAGCUCCAUUAACAGCCACAGCCGUGUUGAGCUCCAUUAACAGCCACAGCCGUGUUGAGCUCCAUUAACAGCCACAGCCGUGUUUAGCUCCAUUAACAGCCACAACCGUGUUUAGCUCCAUUAACAUCCACAUCCGUGUUUAGCUCCAUUAACAGCCACAGCCGUGUUGAGCUCCAUUUACAGCCACAGCCGUGUUUAGCUCCAUUAACAGCCACAGUCGUGAUGAGCUUAAGUUCAUAGAGGGCGUACAGUCCACUGUGAGUCUGGCAGUAGGACAUGCAUGCGCCCUUCGAAGCCUCGCAAUUCUAGAUCUUCUAGCAGCAGAUCUGUGUCCGAUGUUAAGCAGAAGAUUUGCAAGGGGAGUAACUAUCACUCCAGCAAGUCUUCAACAAACAGAGUUGGAGCCCAUAGCGCGCCGUUACAAAAUAAACAGUUUUCUUUUGGGAUCAUCUAAGUCCAAUAACUUUGCCACAACUUUGUUUAACACUGCAGACCCAAAACUUGUUGUGAAUGGAGGAAAAUUACCUUCCAGAACCUAUGUUUACCCCACUGCCAGAAGUUCUCUCUUUCAAUACCCAGAAAGCUAGGGAAAAUACCCAAGACCUGGAUGGGGGAUUAGGAAAACGUCUGUUGACCUUGACAUACAGGAAGAAGAUAACUCAUUCAGAAUAGGUAUUUAAUCUAGGGCUUUCAACUACUCGGAAGAAGAUCUUUGAACACCAACAAAUUACAACCCAAAAAAGAGCAUUAGUUUCAUUUGUUAUUGAAACUAUUUUUGUGUGAACUAGACUUAAUAUUUAUACAACUUGCAAGGUUUGUUUUUAUAAUGUUCAUGUGUACAUGAUGAAAUGUUUAUGUAUGAUGUUUACUUUAUCUAAUGUUUGUAAUAUUUGUUUCCAUUCAAUUAAAAGCGACAUUUUA